GAUACAUACCAACUACUCAUAUUUCAUUGCCUGAAGUUAGUUUCGUGGCCCUACCUAACUACUGAAAGCAAGAGGGCAAGGGAAGUGGUGGGGAAUGCUAAUUUUUUUUUAACUGGAAGUAGAAGUGAACCAGGUAUCAGGGAAGUCUGUAGUUGCCUACCACAAACGCUGCUUAAGAAAAAUAAAUGAUAGUAAAUGUCUAACGCAAGACCAGAGAAUUUCUCCAGCUGAAUCAAAUUCACUAAGGAUAGUUCUCCAGCUGAAUUAAAUUUCUUCCAGCCGAAUCAAACUUCCUGUGGUGUCAGUCUCCCUUCUUUCCUAACCCUUCUGGCUUUAUUUCUUGGCUGCCUCUUUCAGUCAUUUGCUCUUGGGUUUAUUAGUCGAAUUCAGACUAUUUACCUUUAUUUCUAAUGGAUAACCUUUACGACAUUAUUUAUGUUCAUUGCUUAUCAAUUCUAUGAACUAAAAUUGUGGUCAAGAAGUAUUUCACUCCCUUGCCAAACCCAGCCCUGCUCAGCCCCAGAACAACCACCACUCAGGACCACGGUGCCGAAUCUCAUAACGAACUGGACAUCAAGAAGUUUCUACAUUCACUGUAAGAAUUUGAAAUGAAGAAAGAACAAUACAAGCUGCAGACCACAUAA
rnacentral:lncRNA from 10 species